rnacentral:rRNA from 1 species
UGGGAAUUUUGGACAAUGGGCGAAAGCCUGAUCCAGCAAUGCCGCGUGUGUGAAGAAGGCCUUCGGGUUGUAAAGCACUUUUGUCCGGAAAGAAAUCCUUGGCUCUAAUACAGUCGGGGGAUGACGGUACCGGAAGAAUAAGCACCGGCUAACUACGUGCCAGCAGCCGCGGUAAUACGUAGGGUGCAAGCGUUAAUCGGAAUUACUGGGCGUAAAGCGUGCGCAGGCGGUUUGCUAAGACCGAUGUGAAAUCCCCGGGCUCAACCUGGGAACUGCAUUGGUGACUGGCAGGCUAGAGUAUGGCAGAGGGGGGUAGAAUUCCACGUGUAGCAGUGAAAUGCGUAGAGAUGUGGAGGAAUACCGAUGGCGAAGGCAGCCCCCUGGGCCAAUACUGACGCUCAUGCACGAAAGCGUGGGGAGCAAACAGGAUUAGAUACCCUGGUAGUCCACGCCCUAAACGAUGUCAACUAGUUGUUGGGGAUUCAUUUCCUUAGUAACGUAGCUAACGCGUGAAGUUGACCGCCUGGGGAGUACGGUCGCAAGAUUAAAACUCAAAGGAAUUGACGGGGUCAUAGCUGUUUCCU